GGUGUUUUGGGCUCGGCUUGGGGCAUUGAAAUGCCUGUGCUGGUUUACGCUGUUCCGUGCGAGACUCUACGGUACUUCACAGGAAAACUGCACAGAGACAUCCUGACACCAAUAGAUUGUCAGCAGUACCUUGUCAAGACCUAUGAUAUCAUAGCCUCCAGGAGGUAACUGGUAUGUGAAUCAGAAAAUCUUGUUGACUGACAGAAGUGACUAUUUGACAUUUUCUGAGGCAUGGUGCUCCCCAGGAAAUAUGCACCUAUGAUGCAUUGUCAGCAGAUGACAUAUCCAGGUGAUCCUGCUUGUGAAGCACCCUGCCAAGAUUGGUGACCUGAUGGAGCACCCUGUCUGUGAUGAUGCAGUACCAGCUGCUUCAGCUGGCCGGGUUCCAGUGGACAUUGGACGCGUGUCCGUGCUGGAGACAGUCAUCCACUGGUUUGGCUGGACCUUUGGCUGUCUAUACUCAACCUACAGACUGUACCGAGUCAUCAAAGAUCACCCUGACGAACUGGACAGCUACAGCACCCCGGGCUGGAUUGGCGGCCUGUACGUCGACCGAUUCGACGACGAAUUCGAGGUUUUGAUCAAAGGUCAGCUGCCGACGUACGCAGCCUUCAUGACCAUUCACCUGGUGGUGGGACACUUCCUACGAGGCCUGGCCAUGUUCAAAAUACUGCCGCUCUUCCACUUCCUCCUGUCGGCGUGCUACAUAUGCUUCUCGGCGGGCGCUCGUCGCUUCUUGGUGCUGCUGGGCACGGCGCUGCUGUUCUACGCCGUGUCGCGGGCGCGCAGCCGGCUGCUGUGCUGGCUGCUG
rnacentral:misc_RNA from 1 species